rnacentral:tRNA from 1 species
GCCUUCGUGGUGUAGUGGUCAGUUCGCUCGACGCGUAACCGAGAGGUCCGUGGUUCGAUUCCUGGCAAAGGCG